GAUGAACGCUGGCGGCGUGCCUAAUACAUGCAAGUCGAGCGAACAGACGAGGAGCUUGCUCCUCUGACGUUAGCGGCGGACGGGUGAGUAACACGUGGAUAACCUACCUAUAAGACUGGGAUAACUUCGGGAAACCGGAGCUAAUACCGGAUAAUAUAUUGAACCGCAUGGUUCAAUAGUGAAAGACGGUUUUGCUGUCACUUAUAGAUGGAUCCGCGCCGCAUUAGCUAGUUGGUAAGGUAACGGCUUACCAAGGCGACGAUGCGUAGCCGACCUGUGAGAGUGGUCGCCAGCCUGAGAGCGGGACCGGGCCCAAGGGUCCUGAGGGAGGGCGCAGACGGGUACGUGCGGCAGGGGGGGGGAACCGUGCGCAACGGGCCGGGGGGGGAGGUAAGGGCGUCGGGUGCGAAAAAACGUUUUUUGGGGAAAAAACAAAUGUCGACUGAACCGUAGCCGGAUUGACGGUAAUGGAUAAAGAAGCACCGGCUAACUACGUG
rnacentral:rRNA from 1 species